UGCAAGUCGAACGCUGAAGCAUCUUCGGGUGUGGAUGAGUGGCGAACGGGUGAGUAACACGUGGGUAAUCUGCCCUGCACUCUGGGAUAAGCCUUGGAAACGGGGUCUAAUACCGGAUAUGACAUGUCAUCGCAUGGUGGUGUGUGGAAAGUUCCGGCGGUGCAGGAUGAGCCCGCGGCCUAUCAGCUUGUUGGUGGGGUGAUGGCCUACCAAGGCGACGACGGGUAGCCGGCCUGAGAGGGUGACCGGCCACACUGGGACUGAGACACGGCCCAGACUCCUACGGGAGGCAGCAGUGGGGAAUCUUGCGCAAUGGGCGAAAGCCUGACGCAGCAACGCCGCGUGGGGGAUGACGGCCUUCGGGUUGUAAACCUCUUUCGACAUCGACGAAGCCUUCGGGUGACGGUAGGUGUAGAAGAAGCACCGGCUAACUACGUGCCAGCAGCCGCGGUAAUACGUAGGGUGCGAGCGUUGUCCGGAUUUAUUGGGCGUAAAGAGCUCGUAGGCGGUUUGUCGCGUCGGCCGUGAAAACCUGCAGCUUAACUGUGGGCUUGCGGUCGAUACGGGCAGACUUGAGUUCGGUAGGGGAGACUGGAAUUCCUGGUGUAGCGGUGAAAUGCGCAGAUAUCAGGAGGAACACCGGUGGCGAAGGCGGGUCUCUGGGCCGAUACUGACGCUGAGGAGCGAAAGCGUGGGGAGCGAACAGGAUUAGAUACCCUGGUAGUCCACGCCGUAAACGUUGGCGCUA
rnacentral:rRNA from 1 species